rnacentral:rRNA from 1 species
CCUACGGGUGGCAGCAGUGGGGGAUAUUGCACAAUGGGGGAAACCCUGAUGCAGCGACGCCGCGUGGGUGAAGAAGCGCCUCGGCGCGUAAAGCCCUGUCAGCAGGGAAGAAAAUGACGGUACCUGAAGAAGAAGCCCCGGCUAACUACGUGCCAGCAGCCGCGGUAAUACGUAGGGGGCAAGCGUUAUCCGGAUUUACUGGGUGUAAAGGGGGCGCAGACGGCGAUGCAAGCCAGGAGUGAAAGCCCGGGGCCCAACCCCGGGACUGCUAUUGGUACUGGGUGGCUAGAGUGCAGGAGGGGCAGGCGGAAUUCCUGGUGUAGCGGUGAAAUGCGUAGAUAUCAGGAGGAACACCGGUGGCGAAGGCGGCCUGCUGGACUGCAACUGACGUUGAGGCCCGAAAGCGUGGGGAGCAAACAGGAUUAGAUACCCCAGUAGUC